AGUUAGUUUUCAAAAUCGCAACCACAUCUCAUUCUCACUGUCAGUGCUUUGAAACAUGAAAUCUCGUCUCCAUCCUCCUCAAUUUUUUGCUCUGCCUCUUCGAUUCUCUCCUCAAGAUGGAAACCACAAUCGCGUGUUAUGCUCUGAAGUUCUGAAUCCAUCUUUUAAUCCUCUUCAAUCUCUUGCUCUAACUCUUCGAUCUCUCUUCCACCACUGUCAUCGAAGCCUCCGUCGUGCCAUCGUCACUGUCAACGUGAGUUCUCCACUCUAGGAUCUGAAUUGGAAACUCUUAAGGUUGAUUUGAUAGGUUCACAAGUCUUUCAUACUAGUUCUCUUACCUGAUUGUGCCUUAAGCGAUUCAUCAACAUCAUGCAAUGGAGUUUCUUAUUCCAGAUCGAAAAAGAGAAACUUCAACAGCACAAACAAGUUUAUCUGUUCUAUGCUACCUGAAUCACCUUCCCUAUCAAUUUCAUACUCUCCAGGUAAUCAAAUUAAUUAAUAAACCGAAUAAUAUAUAUGUUGGGUUUAAAUUGGGAGUUAAUUAACUUAAUUAAUAUAUGGUGUUUUUGAGAGUAGCAGGGCUUAUGUUCAAGCCAUGAGGGAGUAACUUGCAGCAUGCAACGGCAUUUUCAUUUCUUUCAUUUCAUUACUAUAUCCCGAGCAUGACAAUAGUUUUUAGUUUUUUACAUUUGAGCAGGGCUUAUGUUCGUCUAGGUAAUUUCAUACUCUCAAUCCCCUUUAUUAAUAAUUAUUUUAUUGAAUUGUAAGAAUCCUGUAAUAGUUUUGAUGCUGCAGAUUUUGUUGAAUUAUGAGAAUCCCCUUUAUCAAUCUUUUUUUUCUAAUUUUUCUUUUCAGCUUUGAUGCUACAGAUUUUGUUGAAUUGUGAGAAUCCUUUAACUCUAUAUUUUAAUUUUUAUUUUUAAAGUUAUGGUUUCCUCAUUAAAGAAAGUAACCAUGAUGAUGUAGGGUAGGUGUGCAUUCCAUUGUUAACCUCUUUUUAAUCAUGAUAAUAAAAUCCUUAACAUCCCUGUUGUAAGUAUCUAGAAAGUUUUGGUUUGUACUUUUAUGCUUACAUAUUCCGUGUUGAGAAUCAUGAAUGCAGUGAGAAUCUGUCAGACACAUACAGAGUAUCAACCACGAUCACUAUACUUUGAUGGGAUCUUAUGGAGCACUGCUGGUUGAUGGGCUUGGAGAUGGUAUCCUCUUAGAAGAACCAGACAAGGAUUUUGAGUUCCUCAGAAAUAUAUCUUUCAAUUUGCUGCAAGGGUGCAGAAUGAGAAACACAAAGACAAUUGCAAUCAUGGGAUGCAUUGUAAAUGGACCCAGAGAGAUGGCUGAUGCAGACUUUGGUUAAUUUUAAAAGGACACUGCUUCUUAUUUGUUCAAGUAUUUUCUAGCCCUACUUUUAUUUCAACUUCUCCUUUUAACUACCUCAAGUACAUAUGCAUUUGUCUUUUCAACCAGAGCUUACCUUUGCUAUAACUGUUUACUGCAUCUUCCCUCUCUUUGUGGUCUGUUAAAUAUGUUACCUUGUCAUAGGUUCCCAAGGAUUUGAUCGCUAUCUUACCGUGAGAAGCAAUGGUGGACUAAAUCAAAUGCGAACUGGUGUAAGUGACUGCUUAUUUCUUGUAAAGUCAUGUAAAUGAUAGCAGACCGAAGCUGGUGGCAGGAUCUGCUGAGGGAUAUUCUGGGCAUGUUGACAGGAAGCUUAGGGAGGGGAGGAUGAACCACCCGAAGGGGAUAACAUUUGAUGACCGUGGAAAUAUCUACAUUGUAGAUACUAUGAAUAUGGCAAUUAGGAAAAUUAGUGACUCAGGUAGACAUUAUGUUAGCUAUAGUCAUGUAUAGGACCUCUCUCCAUGCCGGGUAUUUUUUCAUCUGAAUCUAUAUAUGGGAUACCUAAAAGAUAAGAUAUAAAACUUUCCCUUUAGUAUUUUUGAUAACUUACAAGUCCUCUGUUUGUAUAUAUAUAUGUGGUUGCAUUGUAGCUUAUAGGCCAUGUAAUGUUUGAUAACUUUAUUUAUUGAAUUAUGAUUUUUGUUUUAGGCGUUACAACGAUUGCCGGUGGAGGAAAAUGGAGUCGUGGAAGGGGCCAUGUUGAUUGACCAAGUGAGGAAGCUAAAUUUUUUUAUGUAUUGUGUAUCCCUUUUCCUUUUCUUUUAUAUAUGGAAUGUUCAUAGAGUUUAAGUGCUAUAAGUAUUUUUUUUA